AACGAACGCUGGCGGCGUGGCUAAGACAUGCAAGUCGAACGAACUGGUCAAUUUAUUGAGCAGUUAGUGGCGAAAGGGUUAGUAAUGGAUAGGUAACGUGCCCUGUGCUCCGGAAUAGCGUCGUUCGCCUUCGGGCGAGCUACCGAAAGGGACCGUAAUACCGCGGAACAUCAUGUGUCGAUAGGCAUAUGACAUCAAAGAUUUAUCGGCUCAGGAGCGGCCUAUCUCCUAUCAGCUUGUUGGUGGGGUAAUGGCCUACCAAUGCGGCGACGGGUAGCGGGACUGAGAGGCUGACCCGCAACAUCGGGACUGAGACACUGCCCGGACCUCCACGGAGGGCUGCAGUAACGAAUCUUGCGCAUGGGCGAAAGCCUGACGCAGCGACGCCGCGUGUAGGAGGAAGUCUUUCGGGAUGUAAACUACUGUCAGGGGUAAGAAAGUCCGCUCCGGCGGAUUGAUCUAACCCAAAGGAAGUCACGGCUAACUUCGUGCCAGCAGCCGCGGUAAGACGAAGGUGGCGAGCGUUGUUCGGUGUUACUGGGCUUAAAGAGUGUGUAGGCGGAAAAGUAAGCGUCCUGUGAAAGCCCUCGGCUUAACCGAGGAAUCGCUCGACGAACUGCUUUUCUUGAGGCAAGUAGGGGUGCAUGGAACUCUUGGUGGAGCGGUGGAAUGCGUAGAUAUCAAGAGGAACGCCGGUGGAGAAAUCGGUGCACUGGGCUUGUCCUGACGCUGAGACACGAAAGCGUGGGGAGCGAACGGGAUUAGAUACCCCGGUAGUCCACGCCGUAAACGAUGUCUACUAGGUUGUGGUGGUUCUGACACCAGCACGGCCGAAGCAAAAGUGUUAAGUAGACCGCCUGGGGAGACGGUCGCAAGGCU
rnacentral:rRNA from 1 species